AUUGAACGCUGGCGGCAGGCCUAACACAUGCAAGUCGAGCGGAUGAGUGGAGCUUGCUCCAUGAUUCAGCGGCGGACGGGUGAGUAAUGCCUAGGAAUCUGCCUGGUAGUGGGGGACAACGUUUCGAAAGGAACGCUAAUACCGCAUACGUCCUACGGGAGAAAGUGGGGGAUCUUCGGACCUCACGCUAUCAGAUGAGCCUAGGUCGGAUUAGCUAGUUGGUGAGGUAAAGGCUCACCAAGGCGACGAUCCGUAACUGGUCUGAGAGGAUGAUCAGUCACACUGGAACUGAGACACGGUCCAGGCUCCUACGGGAGGCAGCAGUGGGGAAUAUUGGACAAUGGGCGAAAGCCUGAUCCAGCCAUGCCGCGUGUGUGAAGAAGGUCUUCGGAUUGUAAAGCACUUUAAGUUGGGAGGAAGGGCAGUAAGUUAAUACCUUGCUGUUUUGACGUUGCCGACAGAAUAAGCACCGGCUAACUCUGUGCCAGCCGCCGCCGUAACAC
rnacentral:rRNA from 1 species